rnacentral:rRNA from 1 species
UACGAAGGGGGGCUAGCGUUGCUCGGAAUCACUGGGCGUAAAGCGCACGUAGGCGGACUCUUAAGUCGGUGGUGAAAUCCUGGAGCUCAACUCCAGAACUGCCUUCGAUACUGAGAGUCUCGAGUCCGGGAGAGGUGAGUGGAACUGCGAGUGUAGAGGUGAAAUUCGUAGAUAUUCGCAAGAACACCAGUGGCGAAGGCGGCUCACUGGCCCGGUACUGACGCUGAGGUGCGAAAGCGUGGGGAGCAAA